rnacentral:rRNA from 1 species
UGCCACCGUAAGGUGAGAGGAAGGUGGGGAGUGACGUCAAAUCAGCACGGCCCUUAUGUCCAGGGCUACACACGUGUUACAAUGGCCGGCACAGAGGGCAGCUACCUGGUGACAGGAUGCUAAUCUCGAAAACCGGUCUCAGUUCGGAUCGAAGUCUGCAACUCGACUUCGUGAAGCUGGAUUCGCUAGUAAUCGCGCAUCAGCCAUGGCGCGGUGAAUACGUUCCCGGGCCUU